UACAGAGGGGGCAAGCGUUAUUCGGAAUUACUGGGCGUAAAGGGCUCGUAGGCGGCCAACUAAGUCAGACGUGAAAUCCCCAGGCUCAACCUGGGAACUGCGUCUGAUACUGGAUGGCUUGAAUCCGGGAGAGGGAUGCAGAAUUCCAGGUGUAGCGGUGAAAUGCGUAGAUAUCUGGAGGAAUACCGGUGGCGAAGGCGGCAUCCUGGACCGGCAUUGACGCUGAGGAGCGAAAGCAUGGGGAGCGAACAGG
rnacentral:rRNA from 1 species